ACAGUGGCAAAAGUGAGCAACAAUAGCCCAUCCUAGAUUCCUGGCUUCCCAGGGCCACUCACAUUGACUUGGAUUUCCUCAAGAGUGCGUCGGGAAAAGAAUUACAGUCUGGCCAUGCAAACAGGUCUGGCAAAGACACAAGCUGUUCUGGUAUGUAUGAUGUUUUUAAAAGCCUGUGAUAUUAAAAGCCUAGAAUAAUGGAAAAAAAACAUCAUUUGAGGUAAUAAUAACCCAAAGUUAUGUUCACAUGCUUACACAUGGCCUAUGGCUGGUUUUGUGCCCAGGUGGCAAAGUUUGGUGGGUUGUUGCGGAGACCAGGCCCACAAAGCUUUUAUGACCUCAUUUACUAUCUGGAGUUUCAAAGAAAAUAUCUGUUGAUGUGAUGGGCAUGAUAGCACAUCUACAAUCCUGGCAUUAGAAAGACUUAUAUUUAUUUGUUGUGCUGCGUGAACACACUGGCACAUGCCAUGGCACUCAUGUGAAAGCCAGAGGACAGCCUGCGGGAGUUGGUCCUCUGUUUUUUACCACAUGGGUCCCAGAGAUCAAAUUCAGCUUGUCAGGCUUGGUCCGAGCCCUCACGCCCAGAACCAUCUUGCCAGACGCCAAUAUUUAGUGAAUGUGGUGCUUUCUAGAUGAAAGGCAAUGUGGGUUGUAUUGUUCUCUGUGAUUCACACAGUAUUAAAGCUCUUUUUAAAGCCA